CCCUUGGCCUUGACAUACUAAGAACUUUCCAGAGAUGGAUUGGUGCCUUCGGGAACUUAGAUACAGGUGCUGCAUGGCUGUCGUCAGCUCGUGUCGUGAGAUGUUGGGUUAAGUCCGCAACGAGCGCAACCCUUUUCCUAUUUGCCAGCGGGUAAUGCCGGGAACUUUAAGGAUACUGCCAGUGACAAACUGGAGGAAGGCGGGGACGACGUCAAGUCAUCAUGGCCCUUACGGCCAGGGCUACACACGUGCUACAAUGGUCGGUACAAAGGGUUGCUACCUCGCGAGAGGAUGCUAAUCUCAAAAAGCCGAUCGUAGUCCGGAUCGCAGUCUGCAACUCGACUGCGUGAAGUCGGAAUCGCUAGUAAUCGCGGAUCAGAAUGCCGCGGUGAAUACGUUCCCGGGCCUUGUACACACCGCCCGUCACACCAUGGGAGUUUGUUGCACCAGAAGUAGGUAGUCUAACCGCAAGGAGGACGCUUACCACGGUGUGGCCGAUGACUGGGGUGAAGUCGUAACAAGGUAAGCGUAGAUGA
rnacentral:rRNA from 1 species